rnacentral:rRNA from 1 species
GACGAGUUUGAUCAUGGCUCAGGAUGAACGCUAGCGGCAGGCUUAACACAUGCAAGUCGAGGGGCAGCGCGAUGUAGCAAUACAUUGGCGGCGACCGGCGCACGGGUGCGUAACACGUAUGGAACUUACCCUUUACUGGGAGAUAGCCCGGAGAAAUCCGGAUUAAUACCCCAUAAUAAACGAAGUGGCAUCACUUUGUUUUGAAAGCUCCGGCGGUAAAGGAUGGCCAUGCGCACGAUUAGCUAGUAGGUGAGGUAACGGCUCACCUAGGCUACGAUCGUUAGGGGGCCUGAGAGGGUUAUCCCCCACACUGGUACUGAGACACGGACCAGACUCCUACGGGAGGCAGCAGUGAGGAAUAUUGCGCAAUGGAGGCAACUCUGACGCAGCCAUGCCGCGUGCAGGAAGAAGGCGCUACGCGUUGUAAACUGCUUUUAACCGGGAAGAAACCCUCCGACGUGUCGGAGGUUGACGGUACCGGAGGAAUAAGCACCGGCUAACUUCGUG